UGGAGGAACAACCCCAGUGGCUACGGCAGCCUUGGAAACCUGGAUUCAGCUCCCGCAGUAACUCCAGAGCUCUUGGUCUGCAGGUUCUGGAGGCUCCGGGGUGCA
rnacentral:pre_miRNA from 1 species